UAAUUCUGGGAUUAGAAUAGUAUUGUCCCCUCUCUUUCUAUAUAUAUAGAGGGUGGGUCUAUUAUGAUAAUACCUUUAAGAGUCUUAUUCUGCUAACACCCCGAAACGAACCGGACACAACAAAGACCCCAUAAAAGGAAACAUCCCACCCCACCCGUGCAGCCCACUACCCAUCUUCCCCAGUCCCCACCCCCCGCACCACAACCCUCCUCCCACAUCCUCCCGCUGCCGGCGCGCCCCCAACCCCCUCCCGCGCCCCUAACCCCCUCUCACGGCCGGCGCACACCUACCUACCUCCCAUGGCCGCCGCGUCCAACCCCUUCCAACCACUGGCGCCAUGGUGGGAGCCGGCCGCCACCGAAUCCUGCAAGGUCUCCACCACCGGAUCCGGACGCAAUGGCCAUCGGUGUAGCCACAAGCCGACGGAUCCGGCUGCGACCCACCACCUCCCGCGCGUGGUGGCCGGAUGGGAGGGCCGACGAGCUCCAUGCCAUGCUGGGCUCCUCCAGUGCCACCACUUCCUUCAUCCACAUCGGUCAUACUACCUCCCGCUCUGCCUCCCCGCACUUUGCCGGCGAGCCGCCAAUCCUCCAUGCGCGUUGCCGGUGCCCCGGCCUUUCUACCCGCAACGCAUCCCGACCCUUCUGCUCCCGCCUGCCUCACCCCGCCACCUCCCGGCGCACCUCCUUCCCUCCCUCCACCCUCUCGCAGGCCACAGAUCCGUGGCCCUCAAUCCUUCCCCGGGGAGGAUCCAGGUGAGGUCGAGGGGCACCGUCGCAUCUCCUUCCCCUUCCCCCGGCAUCGUCGACCGUCCCCUCGCCUCGAUCUGCCGCGACGCCGACUACCGGCAGUAGGGUGCGCCUCCCUUCCUCUCCCCUCGAAUUUUUGGGCCGCCGCCGAUACAACGCGGUAUCCGGCGGUCGGGCUCGGGGGUGGAGGCCGCCGCCGAUCCCCUGCUGGAUCUCUUUCCACCAAGACCCGGUGACCUCCCCUUCGAUUUGGUCUCCCAUCGACAAUGCCUCCCCCACUGUUCUCCAUGGAUGGCUGCGCACAGUCACCAUCUCCAGCGCGCGGUUUCACCAGAAGGAGCCCGGGGAGCGCCUCUCUCUCACCACCGUGUGUAGUUCGGCUGGCGCCGACAUGAGGUUCACUAGCUUCUUGCAGUUUUUUUUGAUAGGAAAAGGUGGUAGCUUCUGCUUGCAGUUCGCCAUGGUAGAUGGGUUGAUGCAGCCCACUUGAAGGAGUCUUGUGGUUCACUCCAUUCAACAAGGAAAAAGCAAAAAAGUAGUGUUGUGAUGCAGCCCACUUGUUUCAUUUUUGUUUAAUUUUUGUUCCCUUUUGAGACCUAGCUGUCUGACGUGAACAUUUGAAUGUUGAGUGCUCUGCAAUUAAACAAGUGCACGGGAAGCACCUGCUUUUUUGUUUUCCUAGUUUUUGAACAUAGAUGGUGACCAUCUGAUGCAUUUUUUUAUUGUGAUAACAGGCAUCUGAUUUUUUUCCAAGCAUGGAUUUCUGACUACCUGACCCGAGUUUUUGAAUCAUGGUUAGCAGUUGAUUUCUUUGGCUGCAGACAUCACCUGAUCGCGGAUGGAAAAGAUGAACCGGAGUGGAGCUCAAGGUGCAGACAGUAGGCUCUUGGUUAGUGUGCUCGGUUUACAGUUUCCCAUGUUUUAAUGCAUCCAAGGAUCUUUAUCAUUGGCCGAAUGCUGAGAUUUCAGGCUUCCUGAAAUGAUCAAAGGAGCACGAUAAUAUAUAAACAGCCAGUUAGAACUUGCAUCUGAAGAGUAGUCUGGAAACUGUAUUCGCCAUGGUAGAUGGGUUGAUGCAGCCCACUUGAAGGAGUCUUGUGGUUCACUACAUUCAACAAGGAAAAAGCAAAAGAGUGUAGUCUUGUGAUGCAGCCCACUUGUUUCAUUUUUGUGUGUAUUUUGAAGAUGGGGUGCAGGAAGACAGUGAUUUUUGUGUGUAUUUUGCUCAGGGUUGACAUUUUUUCCGCUUUACAGAUUUUGGCUGCCAUCCCAUGGGUGCACAGGUGCAGUGCUGUGGGGACUGGACAUGCAGUGUGCUGGCACCGACUUGCAUUUCACAAACAAAACUGUGGAUUUAUUUUUUAAGUCCCUCGUCACUGUAAUUUGUGUGUGUUUGUAUUGUAGAUUAAAAAGAGGAACAUUGUAGUUCGUUUGCCCUGUCUCGUAGUCCAGAGAAGUAUAGAUUGCAACUCUAUUGAAAACGUGCAUUGAAGACAACAACACAUUUUUUAAGUGCA